rnacentral:rRNA from 1 species
AGAACGAACGCUGGCGGCAGGCUUAACACAUGCAAGUCGAGCGCACCGCAAGGUGAGCGGCAGACGGGUGAGUAACGCGUGGGAAUCUACCCAACCCUACGGAAUAACACAGGGAAGCUUGUGCUAAUACCGUAUACGCCCUACGGGGGAAAGAUUUAUCGGGGUUGGAUGAGCCCGCGUUGGAUUAGCUAGUUGGUGGGGUAAUGGCCUACCAAGGCGACGAUCCAUAGCUGGUCUGAGAGGAUGAUCAGCCACACUGGGACUGAGACACGGCCCAGACUCCUACGGGAGGCAGCAGUGGGGAAUAUGGACAAUGGCGAAAGCCUGAUCCAGCCAUGCCGCGUGAGUGAUGAAGGCCUUAGGGUUGUAAAGCUCUUUUACCCGGGAAGAUAAUGACUGUACCGGGAGAAGUAAGCUCCGGCUAACUUCGCGCCAGCAGCCGC